GACGAACACUGGCGGCGUGCUUAACACAUGCAAGUCGAACGGGAUUUAGUAGACAGAAGCUUCGGUGGAAGAUUACUAAUGAGAGUGGCGAACGGGUGAGUAACGCGUGAGCAACCUGCCUAUGACAGUGGGAUAGCCUCGGGAAACCGGGAUUAAUACCGCAUAAAAUCGUAGAAACACAUGUUUCAACGGUCAAAGAUUUAUCGGUCAUAGAUGGGCUCGCGUCUGAUUAGCUAGUUGGUGAGAUAACAGCCCACCAAGGCGACGAUCAGUAGCCGGUCUGAGAGGAUGAACGGCCACAUUGGAACUGAGACACGGUCCAAACUCCUACGGGAGGCAGCAGUGGGGAAUAUUGCACAAUGGGGGAAACCCUGAUGCAGCGACGCCGCGUGAACGAAGAAGGUAUUCGUAUCGUAAAGUUCUGUCCUAUGGGAAGAUAAUGACGGUACCAUAAGAAAAAGCCCCGGCUAACUACGUGCCAGCAGCCGCGGUAAUACGUAGGGGGCUAGCGUUGUCCGGAAUCACUGGGCGUAAAGGGUUCGCAGGCGGAAAUGCAAGUCAGGUGUAAAAGGCAGUAGCUUAACUACUGUAAGCAUUUGAAACUGCAUAUCUUGAGAAGAGUAGAGGUAAGUGGAAUUUUUAGUGUAGCGGUGAAAUGCGUAGAUAUUAAAAAGAAUACCGGUGGCGAAGGCGACUUACUGGGCUCAUUCUGACGCUGAGGAACGAAAGCGUGGGUAGCAAACAGG
rnacentral:rRNA from 1 species